rnacentral:rRNA from 1 species
GAUGAACGCUGGCGGCGUGCCUAAUACAUGCAAGUCGAGCGAACGGACGAGAAGCUUGCUUCUCUGAUGUUAGCGGCGGACGGGCGAGUAACACGUGGAUAACCUACCUAUAAGACUGGGAUCACUUCGGGAAACCGGGGCUAAUACCGGAUUAUAUUUUGAACCGCAUGGUUCAAUAGUGAAAGACGGUAUUGCUGUCACUUAUCGCUAGAUCCGCGCUGCAUUAGCUAGUUGGUAGGGUAACGGCUUACCAAGGAAACGAUGCAUAGCCCACCUGAGAGGGUGAUCGGCCGCACUGGAACUGAGACACGGUCCAGACUCCUACGGGACGCAGCAGUGGGGAAUCUUGCGCAGGGGGCGAAAGCCUGCCGGAGCAGCGGCGCGUGAGUGAUGAAGGUCUGCGGAUCGUAAAACUCUGUUAUGAGGGAAGAACAUAUGUGUAAGUAACUGUGAACAUCUUGCGGGUACCUAAUCAGAAAGCCACGCCUAACUACGU